UACGGGGGGGAGCAAGCGUUGUUCGGAUUUACUGGGCGUAAAGGGCGCGUAGGCGGUCGUGACAAGUCACUUGUGAAAUCUCCGGGCUUAACUCGGAACGGUCAAGUGAUACUGUCGGACUAGAGUACAGAAGGGGCAACUGGAAUUCUCGGUGUAGCGGUGAAAUGCGUAGAUAUCGAGAGGAACACCUGCGGCGAAGGCGGGUUGCUGGGCUGAUACUGACGCUGAGACGCGAAAGCGUGGGGAGCAAACAGG
rnacentral:rRNA from 1 species